AUCGGCAGCUAGCUCUCUGCAACUCUCACAUGGUCGCCCACUGAAGCUAAGCAGGGCUGCGCCCGGUCAGUACCUGGAUGGGAGACCACAUGGGAAAGCUAGGUUGCUGCCGGAA
rnacentral:rRNA from 1 species